rnacentral:ncRNA from 1 species
UUUUUGGAGAGUUUGAUCCUGGCUCAGGACGAACGCUGGCGGCGUGCCUAACACAUGCAAGUCGAACGGAGAAUUUCUCUGAGUUUACUUAGAGAAAUUUUUAGUGGCGGACGGGUGAGUAACGCGUGGGUAACCUACCCAU